AAUAGAUACCCAGGUAGUCCACCCCGUAAACGUUGGGAACUAGUUAUGGGGUCCUUUCCACGGAUUCCGUGACGCAGCUAACGCAUUAAGUUCCCCGCCUGGGGAGUACGGCCGCAAGGCUAAAACUCAAAGGAAUUGACGGGGACCCGCACAAGCGGCGGAGCAUGCGGAUUAAUUCGAUGCAACGCGAAGAACCUUACCAAGGCUUGACAUACACCAGAACACCCUAGAAAUAGGGGACUCUUUGGACACUGGUGAACAGGUGGUGCAUGGUUGUCGUCAGCUCGUGUCGUGAGAUGUUGGGUUAAGUCCCGCAACGAGCGCAACCCUCGUUCUAUGUUGCCAGCACGUAAUGGUGGGAACUCAUGGGAUACUGCCGGGGUCAACUCGGAGGAAGGUGGGGAUGACGUCAAAUCAUCAUGCCCCUUAUGUCUAGGGCUGCAAACAUGCUACAAUGGCCGGUACAAAGGGCUGCGAUACCGUGAGGUGGAGCGAAUCCCAAAAAGCCGGUCUCAAUUCGGAUUGGGGUCUGCAACUCGACCCCAUGAAGUUG
rnacentral:rRNA from 1 species